rnacentral:lncRNA from 1 species
UGCAGCAGGAAUCACAAGCCUUUUGAAUCAAAUCCUGUGAUUCAGGUCUUAAAACCUGAACUUGACUGCCUCCCCAUGGGAGUCACAAGUUCAGAACUACUGGCUUUUGUAAAAUUAGAUCAAUGAAAACCUUGAUACAAUCCUUGUCCACAUCUUCAAAACCAGAAGACCUCAUAUUCCAGUUUGCCCAGAAUAGUCCAGGUGUUCCAACAGCCCCAGCUGAGAUCUCAGAUAACAGCCAGUGUCAAUUGUUAAGCAGUCAGCAUUAUAAGAUAGUUAUCUCUCAUUUGGGAUGCUCACUCUUGGAACCCAGCCACCAUGUUGUGAGAAAGCUCAGGCCACAUGCAGAGGCCACAUAAAGUGAAGCCUGUGAAAAUUGAAUAAAGGAGGUGAAUCACAAUCUGGAGCUGACUUAAGAGAAUGAAUUCAAUGACAGCUACCUCAUAGGUUUGUUCUAAAAAAAAAUGUAAAAUUGUGUAAGUUAACACAGUGUCUGUAAAACCA